rnacentral:rRNA from 1 species
CGAACGCUGGCGGCGUGCUUAACGCAUGCAAGUCGACCGGAAAGGCCCUGCUUUUGUGGGGUGCUCGAGUGGCGAACGGGUGAGUAACACGUGAGUAACCUGCCCUUGACUUUGGGAUAACUUCAGGAAACUGGGGCUAAUACCGGAUAGGAGCUCCUGCUGCAUGGUGGGGGUUGGAAAGUUUCGGCGGUUGGGGAUGGACUCGCGGCUUAUCAGCUUGUUGGUGGGGUAGUGGCUUACCAAGGCUUUGACGGGUAGCCGGCCUGAGAGGGUGACCGGCCACAUUGGGACUGAGAUACGGCCCAGACUCCUACGGGAGGCAGCAGUGGGGAAUAUUGCACAAUGGGCGGAAGCCUGAUGCAGCAACGCCGCGUGCGGGAUGACGGCCUUCGGGUUGUAAACCGCUUUCGCCUGUGACGAAGCGUGAGUGACGGUAAUGGGUAAAGAAGCACCGGCUAACUACGUG